GUCUGGGGACUAUGUUAACC
rnacentral:miRNA from 1 species